AAUUUUGGACAAUGGGGGAAACCUUGAUCCAGCCAUCCCGCGUGUAUGAGGAAGGCCUUCGGGUUGUAAAGUACUCUUGGCAGAGAAGAAAAGGUAUCUCCUAAUACGAGAUACUGCUGACGGCAUCGGCAGAAGAAGCACCGGCUAACCACGUGCCAGCAGCCGCGUUAAAACGUAGGGUGCAAGCGUUAAUCGUAAUUAAUGGGCGUAAAGCGUGUGUAGGCGGUUCGGAAAGAAAGAUGGUGAAUCGCAGGGCUCAACCUUGGAACUGCAUUUUUAACUGCCGAGCUAGAGUAUGUCAGAGGGGGGUAGAAUUCCACGUGUAGCAGUGAAAUGCGUAGAUAUGUGGAGGAAUACCGAUGGCGAAGGCAGCCCCCUGGGAUAAUACUGACGCUCAGACACGAAAGCGUGGGGAGCAAACAG
rnacentral:rRNA from 1 species